rnacentral:tmRNA from 1 species
GGGCCUGACGGGUUUCGACAGGCUCAGAUUGCUUCGUGAAGAAGCGUGCCGAGGGCGGUGCGGUGACCUCGUGAAUCCCAGCGCACAAUCCACAACUGCCAACAUCAAGCAGUCCGACCUGCGCCUCGCGGCGUGAGUCCUCGGGGAGGCCCUGCAGGGGCUGCGCACCCUCUCCGCUGUCAAACUGAGCCAGCCCUGGGCGAUCCCACCUGCACCGCGCGGAGAUAGCUGAGACACUUCGCGGUCGACCAGCCAGUCGCACGGGUGCCCGUGCCCAGCGACCGGGGUCAGUAAAGGCAACCACGAGGCUACGCACGUAGAAGAGCACGAUGCCUGAGCUUGGACGAGGGUUCGACUCCCUCCAGGUCCACCA